rnacentral:rRNA from 1 species
GGCAUAGCCUUUGGCGAGAGGAUGUGUUUCACUCCUCAUAUCGUUGGUCUCAAGGCCCGGCUACUUGGUUUGGUGGGGCAAGUGCGUCGUAUUUUGAGGUCUGACUGGGGCCUAAGCAGACGUGCUGUCCGCACCAUCUAUGAGGGUCUGUUUGUUGCAUGUGCAGCAUAUGGAUCGUCUGUAUGGUGCAAGGCGGUCACGACUGUGGUCGGCAGAAAGAAAGUGCUGGCUUGCCAGAGAGUGCUUCUGUUAGGUUGUUUGCCUGUGUGCCGCACUGUCUCUACGGAGGCAAUGCAGGUACUGUUAGGAGUAGCCCCUUUUGACUUGGAGAUCAGGCGUCGAGCCUUGAUGUACAGGAUCAAGAGGCGGCUGCCAUUGCUGCAGAAUGAUUGGCUAGCGGGUAGGGAUGUGGAGAGUUUAGGGCUUAGUGAAUGCAAGAGAUUGGUGAAAGAGUGUGUUUUGUCUGACUGGCAAGUCAGAUGGGACACUAGCGUGAAUGGGCGUGUCACUCAUCGGUUUAUACGGGAGGUUACAUUUGCCGGCAGCCGACCAGACUUUGGGUUCGGCCUGAGUCUUGGAUUCCUGUUGACUGGUCACGGUUCCCUCAAUGCAUUCUUGCAUUCGAGGAACCUUUAUGACAGUCCAGAAUGCCGUUGUGGCUCGGCUGCUGAGACAUGGGAGCAUGUUCUCUGUGAGUGCACAAGGUAUGCAGAUUUUCGAGAUCUGAGGGGGAUGGGUAUAAGUGAGGUUAGUGGCGGGUUUGACGUAAGUCAAUCACUCUCCACUUGUGAUAGGGUUAUAAGAAUGAGUGAGUUUGCUAGAGCUGCAUUUUCCAGGCGACGUUUGCAAUUGCAGGAAGGAAUUGUAUGAGUGAUGAUGGAUGGUAGUUGUGGGGGUACGAACGUGGGGGUGUGUCUGAAUGGUAAAUUUUGUUGAACAUUGUGUUGUGUUGGGGCUACCAACCCUUAACUGUUUUGGAGUUUAAAUUGGAAGUGCCCUUCUGGUACGAGGCCUGACCAGAGGCUUUUAAUCUGGUACCACGGGUAACCAGGAGCCCACGGAACUUGUUCCGUCCUGGUAGGUUGGUGCGGCCCUUCGGGGAGUUUCGUGGUGGUUGUGGUUUAACACCCAAAUGCGGGUAGAGCAUCGCUCGACGUGGAGUUGCGUCAUACAACCGGGUUCCGUGACCCAGAUUACGGAAGAGGCUUAGGUAGUCCUCGUGCCAAACCAAGGUAGAAGUCACAACCAAACAGUCGUGUCUUUAAUUGGUACCUGCGGAAUUGAUGUUCUAAGGGGGCGGUGAUUGACGCUUGAAUUAAUCCUAUACUAGGAGCCGUGAGAUUAAGCCAUCGCGGCAGGUGCUCACGUUAAGCCCACUGACUUUCAUGUCCCUUUCUACUAUCUAGCGAAACCACAGCCAAGGGAACGGGCUUGGAAUAAUUAGCGGGGAAAGAAGACCCUCUUGAGCUUGACUCUAAUCGGGCAGUGUAAGGAGACAUAAGAGGUGUAGAAUAAGUGGGAGAUAUUAGACUUCGGUUUGGUAUCGACAAUGAAAUACCACUGCUCUUAUUGUUUCCUUACUUACUUGAUUAAAUGGAACGUGUAUCAUUUCCUAGCCAUUAUACGGAUAUAAUUAUUAUGUCUUAUGGUAUUGGGUUUUGAUGCAAGCUUCUUGAUCAAAGUAUCACGAGUUUGUUACAUAAUCGCAAACACAUUCUUUAAUGAGAGAAUGCAUUUAUGUAUUAUUGAUUUAAAAAUUUGGUAUAACUCCAAUUACUCAGGUAUGAUCCAAUUCAGGGGCAUUGCCAGGUAGGGAGUUUGACUGGGGCGGUACAUCUCUCAAAUAAUAACGAAGGUGUCCCAAGCUCAGUGCGGACAGAAACCACACAUAGAGCAAAAGGGAAAAUGCUGACUUGAUCUCGGUGUUCAGUACACACAGGGACAGCAAAAGCUCGGCCUAUCGUUCCUUUUGGUUUAAAGAGUUUUUAACCAAGGGGGUUCAAAAAAGUUCCCAAGGGAAUAAUGGGCUUGGGGGGCCAAGGGUUUAAAGGGACUUCGCUUUUUGUUCUUUGAAGUCGGCUCUUCCUAUCCUUGGAAGCAAAUUCCCCCAGCGUUGGAUUGUCACCCCAGCAAGGGAACGUGAGCUGGGUUAGAACCGUCGUGAGACAGGUUAGUUUACCCCUACUAAUGACAAAACGUUGUUGCGACAGCAUUCCUGCGUAGUACGAGAGGAACCGCAGGUACGGACCAAUGGCACAAUACUUGUUCGAGCGAACAGUGGUAUGACGCUACGUCCGUUGGAUUAUGCCUGAACGCCUCUAAGGUCGUAUCCGUGCUGGACUGCAAUGAUAAAUAAGGGGCAAUUUGCAUUGUAUGGCUUCUAAACCAUUAAAAGUUUUUAAUUUGUUUUAUUAACGACAAUGGAUGUGAUGCCAAUGUUAUUUAUAACAUAGUAAAUUGGAAGGAUCUUCGAUCACCUGAUGCCGCGCUAGUUAUAUUUUAAAACAUUAUUU